GUUUUUGGGUUCUGGGGGAGUAUGGUCGCAAGGCUGAAACUUAAAGGAAUUGACGGAAGGGCACCACCAGGAGUGGAGCCUGCGGCUUAAUUUGACUCAACACGGGAAACUCACCAGGUCCAGACACAAUAAGGAUUGACAGAUUGAGAGCUCUUUCUUGAUUUUGUGGGUGGUGGUGCAUGGCCGUUCUUAGUUGGUGGAGUGAUUUGUCUGCUUAAUUGCGAUAACGAACGAGACCUUAGCUUUUAUUUGCCCGGCCUAACCUUGUGUUGGGUGCGGGCCAUAAAAGGACUAUCGAAUCCAAGUCGAUGGAAGUUUGAGGCAAUAACAGGUCUGUGAUGCCCUUAGACGUUCUGGGCCGCACGCGCGCUACACUGACGGAGCCAGCGAGUUUGCCUUAGCCGAGAGGUUUGGGAAAUCUUGAGAAACUCCGUCGUGCUGGGGAUAGAGCAUUGUAAUUUUUGCUCUUCAACGAGGAAUUCCUAGUAAGCGCAAGUCAUCAGCUUGCGUUGAUUACGUCCCUGCCCUUUGUACACACCGCCCGUCGCUACUACCGAUUGAAUGGCUUAGUGAGGCCUCUGGAUUAAAUCCAAGGCUGGGGCGACCCGGCCGUGGGUUGAGAAACUGGUCAAACUUGGUCAUUUAGAGGAAGUAAAAGUCGUAACAAGGUUUCCGUAGGUGAACCUGCGGAAGGAUCAUUA